AGGAAAGGUACAGCGUUUGUGAUCCACUUCGAAACAAUAAAUGUUGGGGUUUUAUUUUGACCAGGAAACAUUUUAGCUGUCCGGUAUAGCUUAGACCUACCUGUACUUGUGUGGAGUGCCGGUACUGUUCCUUUCACACAACGACAAGUAAAGGCGGUCCUGCAUGUGGCAAGCUCACCCCGGCUUUGUCACAAUGAUAUAGAUAUAUAUUGAAGGUAACCAUUGCAGAUGCAAAUUCAAACAAGACAACAGGAAAAGGGCCAAUGGCACUGCAGCCACAACCGAGCACCUGCUUUCAUCUCCAGCCCGGGCGAGCGAGUGCUGAAACGGCAGAGCAGGUCAAACAACAAACAUGGCCACUUGCAGCUACUGUUUCCAUGGUGAUAGGUCAAGGGUAUAAUCAAGCUUUCUGAAAUCUGUAUAGGUCAGAGGUUCCCAUCCCCAAGAGUACUGAUGCAUCCUGGAGCUGCGAUGUGUCUGCUUUGAAUAUCGUAACAUGUACACUGCUCCUAGCUUUUUGUAAUAAAUUUGUAUUUAUAUUCCAAUAAA